CUGCCCUAACUGAAGCCCACUGAGGAGCCACAGAGAGACAAGGUCGCCAGAGUUGUACUUCGGGUUCAGGAACAUUCCCCUGGAUUCAGUAUGCCAAAAGACUUAUAGAGAGGGAUCUACAGUAUGCUUUAAGGAUUCCCGAGGCACACUGGGAGACAGAGUCAUUAACUGCCUCGCACAGAGUGAAUGGAAGUCUAGCUUUCUGCUUAGGUUUUCCUCUUGGACACAGGGAAGCGUUAACAUUGCUUUCCGUAAUCCUCUCUGGUAUUAGGCUGCUUUUUACUUACCAAACCAAAUAAAUCCAGGAGUCUCCAAUGUUAGCUGAGGAGGAAACAGAGGGCAUUGAGUUCACUGUCCCCUCUCAUGUGCAGUUCCCUGCCACUACAGCG
rnacentral:lncRNA from 1 species